UUGAUGUUACUUUUUGUUAGCCUCUUUUAUUAGCUAUUUUUGAGCUGACCAUGUAUCUAUACCUACAAUGAAUUUUAUCCUGGUUUAUUUGUAAUGUUCAGCUAUUUGGGGGCAUUUAACUCAAUUUAGCUGAGUCCAAAUUCAUUUUGAUAUAAAAAAAAUACAUUAUCUAUUCGGGUUUUUAUCCGUCCCUUAAAAUCGUCUUUUCUUUAACGAAUAAACGUUAAUAAGGGACGUGAUUUGUUCCGUAUUUCCUUGUAAAUGUCAAAUACACACGGCUGUCACUCACUAACGCUCCUCUGCGUGUCUGCGCAUGCGUGUAGUGCUGUCAUGGUUGCCUAGAGACAGACACCACAUACGGGCGCGCCUUUUAAAAAUGUCCACUACACCCGAAAACGCCCCGACUAAAAUACAGACGAAAAAAAACAAAACAAAACAAAAUUGACAGUUGUCUACUGUUUUGAACAUUAAACAUAUUAUGCUGAGGUUCCGCCUGACUAAAAAAACGAGUCGUCAUCGUCAUCUUCCUCCUUCCUCCACGGUCGCGGCGUGUGACGUCAGACGCCGUAAACGUUCACCGCGUGCUUUAAAAGCCGCAGGUGAACGAAGUUAUUAAUGGCGGCUCUACCUGGUCCGUGUGAAAGGCUCAGUUAGAGAGAUACACUGGGAUUUCUGCACAAGGAGACCAGGUCAAAGUUGUCCAGUGUCAAAGUUUACUCCUGAAACUGAAAGACAAGAUUGUUUGUCCCUAAGAUCUUCAACACAGAGUCACAAAAGUGCACAAGAGGCG